GACGAACGCUGGCGGCGUGCUUAACACAUGCAAGUCGAACGGUGAAGGGGCCUGCUUUUGUGGGUCCUGGAUGAAUGGCGAACGGGUGAGUAACACGUGAGUAACCUGCCCCCUUCUUCUGGAUAACCGCAUGAAAGUGUGGCUAAUACGGGAUAUUCUGGGUCUGUCGCAUGGUGGGCCUGGGAAAGAUUGCGCCUUUUUUGGUGUUUUUGGUGGGGGAUGGGCUCGCGGCCUAUCAGCUUGUUGGUGGGGUGAUGGCCUACCAAGGCGGUGACGGGUAGCCGGCCUGAGAGGGUGGACGGUCACACUGGGACUGAGACACGGCCCAGACUCCUACGGGAGGCAGCAGUGGGGAAUAUUGCACAAUGGGCGCAAGCCUGAUGCAGCGACGCCGCGUGAGGGGAUGGAGGCCCUUCGGGUUUUGAACCUCUUUCGCCCAGUGAAAGCAGGCC
rnacentral:rRNA from 1 species